rnacentral:rRNA from 1 species
UACGUAGGGGGCGAGCGUUGUCCGGAUUCAUUAGGCGUAAAGAGCUCGUAGGCGGCUUGGCAAGUCGGAUGUGAAAACUCCAGGCUCAACCUGGAGCCGCCAUUCGAUACUGCUAUGGCUAGAGUCCGGUAGGGGAGUGUGGAAUUCCCGGUGUAGCGGUGAAAUGCGCAGAUAUCGGGAGGAACACCGAUGGCGAAGGCAGCACUCUGGGCCGGUACUGACGCUGAGGAGCGAAAGCGUGGGGAGCGAACAGG